rnacentral:RNase_P_RNA from 1 species
GCGGAGGGCUGGAUGGCCGCGGCCCGGGACGCAGGUCUGGGGUCGAGGAAAGUCCGGACUCCCGUUGGCAAGGGUGCCGGGUAAUCCCCGGCGGGGGCAACCCCAGGGAAAGCGCCACAGAGAAGAGACUUCCACGCGAUGACCGAAGGUUCGCCUUCGCGACCGUGUGGUAAAGGUGAAACGGUGGGGUAAAAGCCCACCGCGGGACGGGUAACCGGACCGGCACGGCAAGCCCCACCCGGAGCAAUGCCAAAUAGGGGCCUCGCGCGGGGGCUGGUCUCGGCAACGGGAUACCGCCCGCAGGGAUGCCAACGCCCGAGAGGCCCGGGUUGGCAGCUUGACCGCCGUGGUAACACGGUUGGCAGAGGAAUGGUCAUCCAGCCCCGGGCUACGGUCCGGGGUGGACAAAAUCCGGCUUACAGGCUCUCCGCGCAC